GAAUAUUGGUUUAGUUGUUGCUGGCUCUUCAGAGCAUGUGCACACUUUAUUCAAUUAUAUUAUAAAACUCUAUGUGCAUUUUUUGUAGAUCUGAAAUCAUUCAAGGAAGUCUUAUCUACUUCACUUGGAAUAUAGACUUGCUGAGCAAACAAUUGUUUAUUAGCCAGCUUCUCUUAUAUUUUGGAUCUAUGUUUUUUUUUUUUCAUAUAUACCUAAAAUGUUAUUGACUAUUGGGGAUAAUGGCAUUUAAUUAUGCCUAUAAAAUGAAAUACAACUUUCAACAACGGAUCUCUUGGUUCUCGCAUCGAUGAAAAACGCACCGAAAUGCGAUAAGUAAUGUGAAUUGCAAAAUUCAGUGAAUCAUUGAAUCUUUGAACGCACCUUGCCCUUCUUGGUAUUCCAAGAAGCAUACCUGUUUGAGUGUCAUAUAAAUUCUCAACCUCAUUUAAAUGAGGCUUUGGAUAUUGGGAACUGCUGAACAAAUUUAUUUUUGAAUUCAGCUGUCCUUAAAUAAAUUAGGGGAAUUAUAAUGACUUAUUUCAUUUGGUAUGAUAUUUAUCUGUACCAUUUUGAAGUCUAUCAUUGUCUGCUUAUAAAAAUAACUUGAUUAUUUUGACCUCAAAUCAGGUAGGACUACCCGCUGAACUUAAGCAUAUCAAUAAGCGGAGGA
rnacentral:rRNA from 1 species